UACGUAGGUGGCAAGCGUUAUCCGGAAUUAUUGGGCGUAAAGAGCGCGCAGGUGGUUGAUUAAGUCUGGUGUGAAAGCCCACGGCUUAACCGUGGAGGGUCAUUGGAAACUGGUCGACUUGAGUGCAGAAGAGGGAAGUGGAAUUCCAUGUGUAGCGGUGAAAUGCGUAGAGAUAUGGAGGAACACCAGUGGCGAAGGCGGCUUCCUGGUCUGUAACUGACACUGAGGCGCGAAAGCGUGGGGAGCAAACAGGAUUAGAUACCCGGGGUA
rnacentral:rRNA from 1 species